AUCAUACUCCCUCCGUUCCAAAUUACUUGUCUCACGUAUGGAUGUAUCUAGAUGUAUUUUAGUUCUAGAUACAUCCAUUUCAGCGACAAGUAAUUUGGAACGGAGGGAGUAUAAA
rnacentral:pre_miRNA from 1 species